GAUGAACGCUGGCGGCGUGCCUAACACAUGCAAGUCGAGCGGCGCGGGGACGGGUGAGUAACACGUGGAUAACCCCCUAUAUGACUGGGAUAAACUCGGGAAAACGGAGCUUAACCCGAUACUUUUAGCUGGAUCCGUUCUGGAUUAGCUAGUGGGUAGGGUAACGGCUUACCAAGGCAACGAUGCAUAGCCGACCUGAGAGGGUGAUCAGCCACACUGGAACUGAGACACGGUCCAGACUCCUACGGGAGGCAGCAGUGGGGAAUCUUCCGCAAUGGGCGAAAGCCUGACGCAGCAACGCCGCGUGAGUGAUGAAGGUCUUCGGGUCGUAAAGCUCUGUUAGUGGGGAGGCGUUACCUGCACAAAAAGCCACGGCUAACUCCGUGCCAGCAGCCGCGGUAAUUC
rnacentral:rRNA from 1 species